rnacentral:rRNA from 1 species
UACAGAGGUGGCAAGCGUUGCUCGGAAUCACUGGGCGUAAAGGGCGCGUAGGCGGCCAGCACAAGUCAGUUGUGAAAUCUCCGAGCUUAACUCGGAAAGGUCAACUGAUACUGUGCGGCUAGAGUGCGGAAGGGGCAACUGGAAUUCUUGGUGUAGCGGUGAAAUGCGUAGAUAUCAAGAGGAACACCUGCGGCGAAGGCGGGUUGCUGGGCCGACACUGACGCUGAGGCGCGAAAGCUAGGGGAGCGAACGGG